rnacentral:rRNA from 1 species
UACGUAGGGGGCAAGCGUUGUCCGGAUUCAUUGGGCGUAAAGCGCACGCAGGCGGCUUGGUAAGUCAUCGGUGAAAUCCUCCGGCUCAACUGGAGGGGGCCCGGCGAAACUACCAGGCUUGAGGUCGGAAGGGGGAAGCGGAAUUCCCGGUGUAGUGGUGGAAUGCGUAGAUAUCGGGAGGAACACCAGUGGCGAAGGCGGCUUCCUGGUCCGAUCCUGACGCUGAGGUGCGAAAGCGUGGGGAGCGAUCCGG